UAGGUCUCAGUUCAGAUUGCAGGCUGCAACCCGCCUGCAUGAAGUCGGAAUUGCUAGUAAUCGCGAAUCAGAAUGUCGCGGUGAAUACGUUCCCGGGCCUUGUACACACCGCCCGUCACACCAUGGGAGCCGGUAAUACCCGAAGUCAGUAGUCCAACCUCGUGAGGACGCUGCCGAAGGUAGGAUUGGCGACUGGGGUGAAGUCGUAACAAGGUAGC
rnacentral:rRNA from 1 species